GAUGAACGCUGGCGGCGUGCCUAAUACAUGCAAGUCGAGCGAACGGACGAGAAGCUUGCUUCUCUGAUGUUAGCGGCGGACGGGUGAGUAACACGUGGAUAACCUACCUAUAAGACUGGGAUAACUUCGGGAAACCGGAGCUAAUACCGGAUGAUAUUUUGAACCGCAUGGUUCAAAAGUGAAAGACGGUCUUGCUGUCACUUAUAGAUGGAUCCGCGCUGCAUUAGCUAGUUGGUAAGGUAACGGCUUACCAAGGCAACGAUGCAUAGCCGACCUGAGAGGGUGAUCGGCCACACUGGAACUGAGACACGGUCCAGACUCCUACGGGAGGCAGCAGUAGGGAAUCUUCCGCAAUGGGCGAAAGCCUGACGGAGCAACGCCGCGUGAGUGAAGAAGGUCUUCGGAUCGUAAAACUCUGUUAUUAGGGAAGAACAUAUGUGUAGGUAACUGUGCACAUCUUGACGGUACCUAAUCAGAAAGCCACGGCUAACUACGUG
rnacentral:rRNA from 1 species